rnacentral:rRNA from 1 species
CCUACGGGAGGCAGCAGUGAGGAAUAUUGGUCAAUGGGCGGAAGCCUGAACCAGCCAAGCCGCGUGCAGGAUGACGGCCCUACGGGUUGUAAACUGCUUUUAUACGGGAAUAACGCGCCUUACGUGUAGGGCUUUGCAUGUACCGCAUGAAUAAGGACCGGCAAAUUCCGUGCCAGCAGCCGCGGUAAUACGGAAGGUCCGGGCGUUAUCCGGAUUUAUUGGGUUUAGAGGGAGCGUAGGCCGCAUGUCAAGCGUGCUGUGAAAUGUCCGGGCUCAACCCGGGCCUUGCAGUGCGAACUGGAGUGCUUGAGGCCGCGGAAGGCAGGCGGAAUUCGUCGUGUAGCGGUGAAAUGCUUAGAUAUGACGAAGAACCCCGAUUGCGAAGGCAGCUUGCUGGAGCGGAACUGACGCUGAGGCUCGAAAGCGCGGGUAUCGAACAGGAUUAGAUACCCGAGUAGUC